CGCGGGGUGGAGCAGCCCGUAGCUCGUCAGGCUCAUAACCUGAAGGCCGCAGGUUCAAAUCCUGCCCCCGCAACCA
rnacentral:tRNA from 1 species